GAGGGAGAGGAGCGGGCCGAGGAGUGGGCCAAGGAGGGCGAGAAGCAGUCCAAAGAGGAGCAGGCCAAGGAGCGAGAGGAGAAGGAGGGCAAGCAAGACAACGCAUUUUCAUUACAGAUGAAAUGAGAGCAACAGUCAUUGACCACGUCAUUGUCCACGGCAUGACAAUGACCGAAGAGGGACAACGAGUCCAACCAAACCUCAGCAGAUUCUCAGUGAGCACCAUUAUUCGGGCCUUCAGAGAACACAACAGAGUUGAAAGAUUGCCAUUUGCAGGUGGGAGGGCUUCCAGAUUCACACCAGCCCAAGAGGUCCUCAUUGUGGAUAUGGUUCGGGAGAACAAUGUGAUCAGACUACGGGAGAGGAUCAUUGGUGACAAUUUGAACUUUCCGACCAUUGACAAUGUCAGCCUGACAACCAUAGACAGAGUCCUCAAGCGCCAGAGAGUAAGAAUGAAGCAGGCCUAUAGGGUACCCUUUGAGCGCAACUCUGGAAGAAUAAAACACCUCCGUCACCAGUAUGUGCAAAGGAUGUUCCAGUUGGAGUCCAUGGCCAGACCCCAUGAAUUUAUAUUUGUGGAUGAGGCUGGCUUCAACCUCACAAAAAGGAGGAGGAGAGGCCGUAACAUCAUAGGACAGAGAGCUAUCGUUGAUGUGCCCGGCCAACGUGGAGGAAACAUCACUCUCUGCGCUGCCAUGAGUUCUAGAGGGCUUCUCCACCGGCAUGCUGAACUUGGUGCCUACAACACUGAGCGUCUCCUCACCUUCCUAGGAGAGCUCAGAUGUUUUGCAUGACAAUGACCACCUGAAUGCUCGGCCAGCAGAUCACCACGACCAGCAGAUUCCUGGGCCAGCUGAUCUUCCCAUAUACGUCAUCCUCUGGGACAAUGUUAGCUUCCAUCGCAGCAUCCAGAGGAGUUCUUCUCAGCAUGGCGGUGGAAGGUCUAUGACCGCCAACCUUACACUAGAGAGAACCUUCUCAGGGCUAUGGACCUGGCCUGUGAUGUGGCUGUGGAGGCGUUCCAAGGCUGGGUGCGGCAUGCCAGGGCAUUCUUCCCACGUUGUUUGGCUAUGGACAAUAUUGCCUGUGACGUUGAUGAGGUCCUGUGGCCCGACCCAGCCCGACGACGUGAUGCCUCUCCAUGAUUUCGGUGUCAACAUACAACAUACUGUGUCAAUUUUCAACGUACUGUAAUAAAAGAAAUCGCACCCUGAACAUUGUGUUCUCAAUUGUUACUGUACAGUAUCUAUUGUGUGUAAUGGAUCCUCCAUGGAGUUUAGUACUCAUUUUUGCAUUGAGUUGUGAUAUUACUGCAUUUUCUGCAUUAUGUAACUAUUCCCAUGAAAUGCACAAAUCUAUAGAAAAUGCCCAAAACAUAUUUGAGAAUAAAUAAGGGUUGCUCAAAUGCAUCCUGGCAGUUGUGAAACUGUAAAAAGAACAGUCUCACACUGUGAAAAUUGUGCUUUCAAUUUUUUUGGUAAUGUGGUUAAUGAUGCUCAGUAGUGUUUACAUUUUUGCAGGCCUUGAGUGGUAUUUUGGUGUCAGAGUUUGUUUUUGAGCAUAUGAGCAA